CCUCAGCGGCUGGUUUCCCUGGUAACGGAUCAGCCUUUCUGACAUCAUUUCCUCCUACAAAUGGAGGAGGACCCUCCUCCUCCCUGGGGUAGUAAAUAGUGCUACCAUGUCUGGCGUCUGUGGGGCAUGGUGGGGUGCUGCUCCAGGACCUUUCUUCAGCAUCAGCCUGGAGAACGAGAGCAGUAACCAGCCUUUGGAAUUCCAGCAAAGUUUCUUCCCUGGGAUCCAUUGUCUCUGUCACGUGAAAAUGACAACACUGGUGAAAAUCACCCUUCCCCUUCCAGCUCCUCCACAAAAUCAUCACGGAUAGUUCUUUCAACCUUCCAUCUUCAGGAGGAAGUAGUUCUGUAUGGUUCUUUUUUCCUUUCGUGUGUGUGUUUUGGCAUAUGUCUUUAUUUCACUUAUGUAUCAGUGAUACAAUAGUGAUAUAUGAGAGCUCAAAUUAAUGCAUACUUGCGAUUAUUAGCAUUUCUUUUUUUGGGGUGGUUUAAUUUUCACUGGAAUAUAGUUGCUUUGCAGUGUUUUAAUUUCUGUGCACAGUGAGUGAAUCAGCUUUAUGUAUUGACACUUGGACUUGGGGCUGUUUACUUGCAGCAUGUUUACCCUCUGUGAUGUCAACUCCUUGAGUUUGGAAACUGUGUGUUUUUUUUUUUAAUUAAAUUUAUUAUUUUUAAAUGAAA